rnacentral:lncRNA from 1 species
CAAACCACUAAAACACCAAAAAAUACUACAAUGCUUUCUCUCAAUAACAAUAUUCUUUCAUCAAUAGAUAAUAACAAUGUACAAUCUUGUACCCUCAAAAGACCGCUUAAAACACAUAAAUUCUAUCCAACAGUAGAAAUAACAGACUUCACUCCAAUCAAUCUACAUUCACAUAAUUUUUGUAAUUAUAGACUUCCUCUGUCGAAACAUUUACAACUCUCAUUAAACAACUAUCAUAAUCUUCCAUCCAUAAUCAACCUUCCAAUAACUUCUCAUAUAAUUUAAUUAUACAGUAUUCUAAUUACAUAAUCAAUAUCUCAUAAAUCAAUCUUUGAUUUAUUCCACAGAUUCACUUCUCAAUAUUCAGAAACUAUCCAUUACUCUUCAAUAACAAAGAAAUAAAGAGGUAGCACCAAGCUUACCCCAGCUCAUGACUAUCAUAGUUUGGCCCUUACAAUAUCUUCUUUAACUUACUUAUGCUUUACUUCUAAAAUUCUACAUUCUAAUCAUCAUUCCCUACUUAACCGUUGUCAUAAUAUGUGAAGUCUUGCUUGAGAAUGCUCCGAGCACUUGGCUGUGGAAGGAAGAAUAGAAAUUGCAAUAACAAAAUCUUAAUUCUAAUAGAAUACUAACAAUGCUCUAAUUAGACCAUAAUAAUGCUAAGCAAGCUUAAUCAAAUUCAAAAAAAAACCUCAAAGAAAUUUCAAACAAAUAAUAAGAAUUCUUAAAGAAAUAUUAGAAGGAUCACAAUUAUCACUCAAAUACAUCUCAAUUUAAUCUUAAUUUAAUUCUAGUUAAAAUCCUAUUGAACUUCAUUCAAACUUUAGGCCAAAACUAAUUGAAUCUUAAAUCCUAAUAAAAUCCUAAACCUUGAAUCAAACCCUAAAUAAACCUUAAACCAAAUCCCAACUAAAUCCUAAACCAAAUCCUAUCCAAACCCUAAAUCAAAUCCUAAUCAAAUCCUAAUCUAAAUUCUAAAUCCUAAACCAAAUCCUAAUCCAAAUCCUAAAUCUUAAAUCAAAUCCUAAACAAAUCUUAAAUCCUAAAUCAAACCCUAACCAAACCUUGAUCCAAAUAUUAAAUCCUAAUCAAACCCUAAACCUUAAACCAAACCCUAACUAAAUCCUAAAUCCUAAAUCAAAUCCUAACCAAAUCCUAAUCCAAACCCUAAACCCUAAACCAAACCCUAACCAAAUCCUAAACCAAACCCUAGUAAUUCCUAUAACAUAUUUAAACCUCAAUAUCUAAUGAAUAAACCGUUGAUCUUAAC